GGGCCGCGUCCCUCCGGGCUACUUCCAAAAGCCCCGUGCCCGGAGCGAGGCGGGCGCCGGGGUGUGCCAAGGCGCCCGCAGCCUCAGCGCUCCUCUCUUGGCUACUUUGGGUUGUUGGUGGAGGCGGGGAGACAAGUUCCCUGGCCACGGCCUUCGCGGGCAGAAGUGGAGGUGGGACGGGGGUGAGGGCCGACGGGCGCGGGUCAGUCGCAGACAGCCCUGCGCGCGGCCAAACUUCCCCGCCCGACCUUCCGCCCUGCCCGGGAUUCCUUAGCCGGGCGGGUGGCGGGAUGUCAGGAGGGACUGACUCUCGGUUCUCCCAGGUGAGGAGGAAAAAAGUCUUGGCAAGUCAGGGAAGUUCCUAAGGGGAAGCCGAAGUGUAGAGGUGUGCAGAAGUCGUCUGUGCCGCCAAAAGAAACCUGGGCACGUUUUUAGGCCUCUUGCAAACAGCCCCGGGGGAACUCCGGUGCGAGCACGCUGCCUGCGGAUGCGCCUGCAGGUUCCUGGUGGAUAAUCUGCCCGAGCGGCUUCCGAGGCCGGGCCGCUCGGCGUGGGGAUUUAGAGCCCCAUCUGUUUGCAGCGGACAGGGCUCCCCUAAUGUGGCAGCCUUUCUGCAGACCCAGACCGGCUUGGGGGUUCUGUCCACCCGUGCGAGCGCCCAGCACUCGUUAAACGUUUGCUAGGUUGGGGUUUUGUUGCAAUCCGGGAGGAAGGACGCCAGUUUAGUAUCUCCGUUGGGCUUACUUUCGAAUCACCAAGCUUUGCCUUUCUUCACUGGAUAUGGGGUGGCAUUUCUUUUAUUAAUAAUUAACAGGCCGAAACGUACUGGACGCUAAGAUGAGCUGCCGGAGACGAAGUCUUUCUAUACGGUGUACUCAUAACAAAUUGCGUACCUUUUCCCCUGUGCUAUGCGAGAAAUGGGAUUUACUCAUUUUUAGAAUAUGCAACUGAUUGAGUGAAAGAGAGAAAGCUUAUCUGAUCCACGCUCUUAAGCACUUAAAAUCAUUUUAGGAAGAAAAACGUUACUGACUUCUUACAUAAAAUAAAUUUGUUCUUUUACUCCCAACAAAACUUUUAUGCUGUUUCCUGCGUUUUCUUAAUCCUUCAAGUGUAAAGCGACUAGAAUAGUUUUGCAGUUAAGACGUUUACUUCUGUUUUUUCUUUUUUUUUAAAGUUAUGGAAUAGAUUUUGCCUUUUGGGAGAUGAUAAUGCCGGUCCUUUUCCAUCUUAUUUAUUCUGAUUUCUGUUGACAUGGGGGGGGUGGUGUCUAAGACAUUUUAAACUACAAUUCUGCUACUGAACAGUAACUCCCAAACAAUAAAGUACGUUUUGAUAUUUUAGUUUAAUUUUCCUGUCUCCUAGUAAAUAGGCUUUUGGUUUUGUAGUUGUAGUACAAAGAAAGUGAAGUUCCGCACUAUCCCUUUCUAUUAGAAUUGUUAAGGUGACACACACACACACACCCCAAAGCUCUAGCCCACACAUCUGUCUUGGAGUGACCUCUGGAUGCUAUAAAAGAAUAGAUUUGGAGUAUUAAGCUUUGAGAAAAGUAGCUCGGAAGUACUGGUUGGCAACACAGUUUUUCUAUAAGCUCAGCUGCCUGAGAGGGAGAGAAGCAAUAGAAUACAUUUAGACAAUUAGAAUCUUUCAUUCCCAACACUGUAGCAUCAUCUGUUUUAAUGGGAUUAUCUUGCUUCCGUGCAAUUUAAGCCGAAGAGGACUAGUUUCUGGGAAAAUGAGGAAUGCUGUCCAUGUUUCCAUAUCAGAUUUAAGGGGAGGAAACUGGCUCAGAAUCAUAUUAAAUACUUGCCUACUGCCUCUCAGCUCUAAUAGUUCAAUUGAUUCCGUGUGUCACAGAGUUUGUAUAGUUAGGUUUUUCAUGCAAAACAGAGAUGCUGUUUACAGUAUGGCUUUUGGUGUUCUCUCCAUGGGAGGAGAGAACAAGCAGCCAUAAAAGAGGAACGUUGGCUGAUUUACUUACGUUUUUUUAAAACGUGAUUGAAUCAGGCCUUUUGAACUCACCAAAGAAGCAAAUCCUUCCUUUGCGUUAGUUGUCAAUUAAGUUUAGGCUUAAAGUGGUUUCAUGCUUAGAAGUAAUAAACCUUCAUUCCAGCAACUCUAGCCUCUUCAGUUUUGUUUUUGUUUAAUUAACAACAAAAUUGCAGUACCAUUUGGAUUGCUUCCUGGGCAAAUGGAAAGGGCCAGUGAUAACAUAAUCAGGGGAGCGCUCAUUCUGCCCAUCAUAAAAGUGCGUUGGCCACAUGUCACACGGCAGCUGAGUGUUUAAAGGAAAACGCAGUCACUUCAUCGGUGUCAGUAGAUGGAUCCCUUUGCUUCGUAGGCAUGUCAGCCCACGUUCACGUCAGUGGAGGUAUGAGAGUGAAGGAGGCGUGAGAGCAAUUUCUGUCCCAGGAUAGAUUCUUCCCCCAACACGAUUCAUAUACAGAUGCCAGACACCUUGCCACUUCGAAAAUACUGUAUGUCUUGGUGACUAGUAGUAUUUCCAACUCUAAUCAAUGUGGUUUUAUAGUUGUUAAGAAUUUGGCCUUUUUACCAAAUGAAAUUUGAGUUUUAUUCCUGGUCUCAUUUUAAGAACUGUUUCAGUGUUAUGUCUUAACUGGAAAUUUUGUCCCGUUUUUGUGACCUUUGAUGGAUAGGAUUGGAAAAAGGUGAUGGCUGGGUCUUGAAAAGAGAAAACCCAAAUUGCCACCACCACAGAGCAGAGCAUUAUCUGGCAAGACAAAGAGGAUCUCUGAAUUGGUUUGUCCGCAGGGGGAGAGGGGAGCCUGGACACUCCAUGAAGUAGAGAGUGUUUGAAAAGCACCAUUUUCACAGACAUCCUCUUGCGUUUCUGUGUUCAGUCAUGGCCUCAAAAUGCAAAGCACCGCCAUGCUCAAGUGCAACAAUUUGCUGGCGAUUUGAAUUGAGGACCAUAUAAUUUCUUUAAUGCUGCCCAGUUAUGAAAUACAAUUUCUAAAUAGAAAUAGUCCUUUUUUUUUUAAAAAAAAAAAAAAAGUGAUUUAAAUCUUAGUCUCUCAUGUACCUAGUAAAUGUAUCAGUAGUUCUCACCUGACUCCUUUUUCUCACAUCUUUCCCUCCCAGCCAAGUGAAGUACAGUAAAGUGGAUGAGAUCACGCGGUGGAUAAUUGCAAGGCACCUGCCAACAGCACCCAGCCGCUUCGUAACUUGCUCUGGGGUGCCUAAGAAAAUAUUAUUUAGAAAUGGCCAUUCACUGGGAGAAACAUUUACUGGACGGCUGGGUAGAUCGAUCAGUUUGCAGAGUUGAAGAAACUGAGGCUCACAGAGGUGAUGAGAUACACCCAAGCUCUCCCAGCUGAUGCGGUGAAGCCAGGACUAACCCUUAAUUUCUGCCUCCUUCACGCUGCCUCCCCUGGAAGGAAGAUGUGAAAAUGCCCUGGAUAUAACUUUGUCUCUAGUUAGUGGAAAUUGUAACUCUGGCAUUUAUAAGGGAAAAAAAAACAGAUUCAAUUAUGGAAUGCUUUGCUGAGCCUAAUAUCUGUAAAUUACUAUUUAAUAAAAUCAAUUUGGUACAGAUGGGGUUAUUCCUACUUGCUUAUCGUUAGCUCUCUUCAUCCAUGAUUUUCAUUAAGCUCCCUUAUUUUAAGAGGAUCUGGAUGAAAUGGAGGCAUUACUCUCCUAAGGAAUACAGAAUGCCACGAAGUCCACCCGACGUGUGUCAUCGUCUCCAUGAUGAUGGAACCGAACUGGAGGUUUUUCCGUAUGUCCUGUUCGUCUGUGGGGGAAAGGGAGCGUCCACAAAUGCCUCUUCUAAUGUAAAUACGGCUUCACGUAAUAGAAAGCUCAAGAAUCCUUGCACUCUUGAGUGCUGUUCUGUUUGUUUCCAUGACAGCGAAGGGGCAUGAUUAUAGACAGACAUGGGAAAUUGUUGUCUUUUAGAAAAUCACCCAAGGAGCCCUGGUGGGGCAGUGGUUAAGUGCUUGGCUGCUAACCAAAAAGUCGGCAGUUCAAACCCACCAGCCACUGCGCGGGAAAAAGAUGUGACAGUCUGCCUCCAUAAAGAUUAACAGCCUUGGAAACCGUAUGGAGCAAUUCUGUCUCCUGUAGGGUCGCUGUGAGUCGGAAUCAACUCGACAGCAAUGGGUUUUUUUGUUUAUAAGUUUCCAAGUAGAUAGAUCUGCAAAAGCUCAUUUCUCAUUGAGUGGAUGCUUACCUAUCUGACUGCAGGGAUUGAGGUGUGUUUAUUUGAAAGCAAAUGAGCGAACGUCCAUUAUUUCAUAGUCUUGCGGAUAGAAGAAACCUUAAAAGUUCAGAUAAAUGUCCCGUUGGCAUUUGGGCCCUCUCCACAACAUUCCUGACAAAUGUUUGGCUGGUUAUGCUUGAACACUCCCAAUGAUGGGAAACUCACUAUCUUUAAAGGUAGCUUAUUCCAUCUUAGAUUUUUGCUUUUUUAAUCUUAUAUCAAGCGCAAAUCUCUCCGCUAUAUUUAAAUCUGAUUUUUUUCCGUUGGGGCUGUGCAGAACACAUUUAAUCCAUCUUUCAAAUGAAAGAUGGUCAGUUAUUUGAAGACCACCAGCAUGUACAAAGUAGAGGGUCAGUGAAAAUGAAUAAAAACCCUCAGUGAAAUGAAUUGACUCAACAAUGGGAUCAAAUGUAUCAAAAAUCACGGAGAAUAGCGCAGGACUAGGCAACAGUUGCUUCUGUUAUACACAAGGCCUCCCUGAGUUGGAGCCCACCCAGUGGUAACUAGCUAAGAACGACAGUGUGUAACAAACACAAGGCCCUCCCUCCCGCCACACACACACACAACACACCCCUAACCCUUUACUUCUGCUGUGCUUUUCCAUUCCAUCUUAUAUCUAGCUCAUGGUUCAUUUGGUGUUCUUACGCUGAGGUUUACCAUCUUCCCACCAUUUUGUGGGCUUCUUCCUCAAACAUACUUAAGUUUUUCUAGGCCUGCUUGAAAUUUUGGUGCUGAAAAUGGAAGCCCAGUGCCACUUGUGAUAUGGCUGACUCAGCCCUUAACUCACCACAUAGUAGAGAGGAAGAAAUGACUUCAAGGUGAAAAAGUUUAAUUUAAAUUUUUUAAGAUACAUAAGCUUGGCUGUAUCUUGAACCCGUCUCGUGACAGGUCUUUCUGAUAUCAUCGUAACUUGUGAAAGUAGAAUUUCACCGUGUUUAGGAAUAAUUAUAGUACGCGGAAGUUGAUUACUAAACAUCCAGGAAAAUCAAAGAUAUUGCCAAAAUUAAAGGAACCUUAGAAGCUUCUACGUGAUGUUUCUCUGCAGUGUCAGAUCUGAGAUAAGGUUGCCCUCUAGUGGUUACUGGCUCACGAAACGCUAAGAGCCAUAAUGGUGCCAAUGAAUUUCCCAUCAGGCUAGUGGAGAAGGUCAGAGGUCGAAAUUAUGUUCUCAGUUGCUAUGGGGCAUUCUACCUCCAGAUUGAAGAGUGUAAUUCAUUACUUCACAUGCUUAAUGAGAAAUAUAACUGUGUGGUAUGUAUUGGAUUUCAAAAGCUUACUUGGAAGUGAAGAAAGUUUUUUUUAAAAAACUUAUUUUAAGGUAAAGCUAAUUUAUAAAAAUCUGUUUGGCUUCGUGUUAAGUGUAAAUGAGGUUUGAUUCGUCCAUAGAUGGUUAUUAUGAAAUAUUCAGUAAUCCUGUAUUUUUGUCAAAGUUUAAACCUUAAUUUUAUCCCAUUAUGGGGCUGGGUUUACCCUGAUACAUAUUUUUAAGCAAAAGUUGUCAAUCUUUUUGAUCAGUUAAAUCCACUAUUUUUUUCUUCUUAAAUCCAGAUUUUUUUUUUCCCCAAAAAAAGACAUUUAGACUUCUUGGCAAUGAAACAGUUUUAAGUAUGGAUGCAGAAACUAUUAACCCUUCCUUUCUGAAGAUUUUGGGUAGGUCUUUUGGUUUCCCUUGAGUAUAUGUAGUUUGGCAAAUAAAAUGGUGCAUUUUAUGUAGAUUUUUAAAACACAUUAAAGUUUAUACUUCAAAACGCAGCAUGAAGUAGAGAAAGCAUUUGUUUAGGUAAUUUUUAGGGUAAACAGGUAACGCAAGUGAAUUAUGGGUUUGGAUUUUGGUGGUUUAUCAAGUGUGAAAUACUCAUAAAGCAAUCUGACUUCUAUAUUGGAAUCAGAGGAAUAAGUAUUGAUUUUCCUAUUUCCUUAAAUGUCAUUUGUUGGUGAUGCUACCCAGAACUGUGAGAAUGCAAAUUUACCUGAACUUUGCAGUUGCUUAAGAAGCCAAGGCUCCUGAUCACAGCUAGAAUAACCAGAGUAAUGAUAAUGGCAGGUCAUCACCAGGAUUUUAAAGGAUGAUACUGCUUGCUUGUUCCUACUAGAAACACGAAAUCUCAACUUUUCAUGAAAAACAAGGAAAGAAGAAACAAAAAAAGGCAAAGAAAACCUGCUGUUUAAACAUUUGCAUCAUAGAAACAAGACAGUGAGUGGUUCAGAAGUGAAGCCUGUGGUUAAGUUUCAGAUUAGUUGUAGAAGCAAAGUAUUUGUCAAACUGCACCACCCAGAAGUGUGAUCCUUUUACCACAUGAGAAGUAUUCUCUUUUUCACAGAAUGUUGUUUUCAUUUUUCAGUUGUUGUUGCCCCCCCCCAUCUUAUUUGUCCAUUUCACUUCAAAUAUUUUGUACACCACUGGGUGGUAUAAAUGAUUAAAUAAAUUUAUUUCAGGAAACACCUUUUAAGCGUCUACUGUGUGCUGGGUUAUUCAAUGCCACCCGUGUACUUUUAUAAAGAGUUGAGAUGCCUUUCUCCCAAUCAAGUGUCUCAAGCCAUGAAUCAGCGUUUUAAAAAUUCACUGAGAAAUCAGCAGCCACACUUGGCCAGAGAAGACUGCUUUAAGGAUAUUGUGGCGGGGGGGGGGGGGCGAGGGUAACAGGCGUGUGGACCAAGGGUCCAGCCUUGGACAGGACGCCCCCACCGCUGAAGCUCAGCCAGGUUUUGGAGCCACUACUCUGGUCUCCUUUUCCUAACGAGGAAAGCAAGUUUUGGAGAGGAAAAUGAUAUUAGGGUAAGUGUAAGUUUCCCUUAAAAAAAAAAAAAAAGUUUCCCUUACGUCCUCUUAAAUCUCCUUUGCAAGUGGAAGAGUGGCAAACACUAGCAAUUUCUGCCACUAUUUAGAGUAGAGAUGGGCUUCUAGUUACUUAAAACCAGUUGCUGUGGCUCAUGGAGACCCCAUGUGUGUUAGAGUAGACCCGUGGUCCAUAGGGUUUUCAAUGUCUGUUUUCUCAGAAGUAGAUCACCCGGCCUUUCUUCUGAGGCAUCUCUGGGUGGAUGGAACCUGCAGCAUUUCAGUUAGCAGCCGAGCGCAUCAACUGCAUGCACCACCCAGGGAUUCCUCUGGUUACAUCAACCCAACUAUUAACCAACAUGUAGGAGGAAGUGGGUAGACUCCAAAUCUUUUACUCUUAAAUGGUUCAAACUACAGAAAACCCCAAGGCUGUUUUGGUGCUGAAGGCGCCUGUGAUUCUUUCCAAACACAAUUCCUUUUCUGCACGAAGCGUUGCAGGUGAGGUCUGGUCUCUGCAUGUAACAAGACCAGGAUGCAUUCUCCUGUUCCACGUGCACUGGGACCAGGUCUUGCCGCUCUUGUGGCCACUGAGUGGGGGCAGGGUGAGGAUCGUGCCUCGGGAGUCAGUGCCUGCUGGGGCUGAAACAGUGAUGUCUUUUCUAUGUUGCUUUUUUCAGCAACAAAGUAAAAGUUCCAGGGCCCAGCAAGCUUGUCAGUGCUUCCUGUUUACAAGCAGUGAACCCCUGGCCUGUGUCUGGUCAUGUCUGGAAACUGGUGGUGCAGAAGCCUGGAAGAGGCAGGCACAGCCCUGCCUUCAUGCUGUUUAGAGUCUAAUCUGACAAAACAGAUAUAAUUGGAAUUGCUCUGGUUGACAUGGAGGAAAGGAGCCUGCCCCUUUCCACACAGCAACUCCAGCUCCUUUUAUGGAAAACGGUGAUAAAACGUCCAGUUCUCUGACAGGUGUGAUGUCGGGGGCUUCGGGUACAGCAGUGAACACUACGCGGAGACUGAGUCUCUGAUCUCUGGCAGUGUACAUUCUGGAGAGAAGAGCUAGGCAAUGCCCAAGUAAAGGUAAAUGAGCUGAAUAGAUACAGAUAGUAACGAGCUAGUCUGACAUAAAAACAAUGUAACAGCAUAGAAAUGCUUAUGGCCUCAGAGAUCAACAUCGUGGAACCCAAUCCGAGACUUUUUUUCAACUGAUGGUUAGUGUUAUGCAGGAUGGGAGGAAGUGUGGCCUCUGGUCCCAAAUCUGCUGGUUGAUUUCUGUCAGGUUACCACAGUUGCUCAGUUUCCUGGUUUAUAAAUUAGAAGGUUGGACUUGAUAGCCCUCAAGAUCUUUUUUAGCUCUACCAUUCUAUGACCAUGUUUCUAAUAAAAGAGUAGUCUGAUUUUUUGUUCAAGACUUGGAAGACGGAAACACCUUUUUAUUUUCCUUAUUCCCUGUCUAAACCCCUUAAUUGCUAGAGGCCUUACAAUCAGCUAAUCAGUUCCUUUUGGAAGUGAAAAUUUAAGGUAAAAAGAGAUUCCUUUAUGCCAACUAUUUAAGAACAAGCAAGCUUUCACUGAUAUUGUUAAUAAAUGUACCCAGACUUAGUUCUGGUAAAUUACAGUCAUACUGUGUCAAGUUCUAGCCCAAAGCCUUUUCCACGUUUGAUGGUUGAGUUAAAACUGAGGAGGUUGGAGGCAGGGAGGGCUGCUUGAAGUGGCCGUAACUGUUGCACACCAUAGCAGUUUCACUCCUUACCAAAGAUUCUAGGCCAGAAACUCAAGGAAACUGAGACUGCCCUAAUGGAUUGCUUGCAGUUUAUUAGUAAGCGGAAACAAUGUAUCUCCUGUGUUGCCAGCAUAUGAAAGGGAAAUAAUAACUGAACUCUUUAUCAUGAAAAAUAUUCUGCUUCCUGAUUUGUAACCUGCUAUCUCUAAGAACUGGGUUUCACUGAAACAUUUAUUGAGAAAGAUACCAGUUCAUUAAAAACCGGCAUGUAUGCUGUUUUUUUUUUUUUUUUUAAGCCCCUCAACUUUAUUUCCUUUUUGUGUAGAAUCUCCCAGUGGAGUUUGGUCAUUUCCAGCAGUUCCGGAAGUGGUAAAGGAGUUGGAAAAGUGUGUCUGAUGGGAGCUGGCAAAUGAAAUUAGCUGUGACUUUUUCCACAGAGAUCUUUAAAGGUUAGCAUGUUGCCUAGUUUAUACAUAUGUAUGUAUUUAGGAAAUUGUACCCACAUUGUACACACAUUCACCUGUUUGCCUUAAAAAACAAAACAAAACAAAAAAACCUGUUGCCAUCAAGUCGAUUCUAACUCAUAGUGAGUGACCCUGUAGAACAGAGUAGAACUGUGCCAUAGGGCUUCCAAGGCUGUCAAUCUGUACGGGAGCAGACUGCCACAUCUUUCUCUUCAGGAGCAGUUGGUAGGUUCGAACUGUGGACCCUUUGAUUAGCAGCUGAAGCAUCUUCCUUGAGCUUAAGUUGCAUUCAUUAUAAAGCAGUUUCUGAAAAAUGAUACUGUUUAACAAAACAAUUGAUUUGGUUGAAAUCUAUUUUCAAAAGCAAUGUUUCUAUGAUAAGCAAACUCAUGUAGGACAGAAGUGUUGCUUCCGCUAGUACAGAGAAAGAAAGUUAUUUAAGAUGAGUUAAGAUGUCUCCAAGUUUUGGCAGACUUUCUAAGCCCCCUGCUGCUGUUGCGUUCAGUAUCCCUUUUGAAGUGGCUUGUAAGUUUCUAUGUGAUUUCAGUGGCUGCUCAGGGGAAAUGUUGGCUAAACUACUCGUUUUGACUGUUAAGAUGGCUUGAGUGUUUCCAGAAUGUUUUCAUUUGCUAGAAAUAUGUUUUGCACUCAGGCUUCUUUUGUUGGAGAAGGUUGGUUACCAGCCAUCUGAUGAUGCCUCAGGGUGUUUACAGAAAAUGUGGGUGCUGUAGUUAUAUUUGAGCACAGCCCUCCCCCCACAAGGACAGUGUGGUAAUCAGCAGGAAUGUGAAAACAUGUAUUUAAGGAUUGAUGCUUGUAAAAGAGGUGCUGUAAAGAAACAUGGUUGUUCAGAUGUAAGAAAUGACUGGCAGCUCUCCUUGUAGGCAUGCUAGUAACAAUAAAGUCUCGAGUGGAACAUCAAAGCGAUCACAGCUUACUCCAGCAGUGAGUUGCACAUCAAAGAGGGAGCAGAAGACAAAGGAAGCGCACUGAGGUAUGUUUCUGCCUCACGGCCAGAUCCUCAGGGGGCACUCCCAGAGUCCUUUCAUGAAUGCAAAGUGAUUUUUGCAGAUCAGCGUCUUCAUUUCAUAAAUGACCAGGAAUAUAAAAGCAGGGCACAUGAGCACUGUAAUUGCUCCCCAUCACUCGAAGUUUGGCUAGAAACAGUUCAUUGCAGAAGGGUUUGGUCUCUCUGGUUUCCAUGAGCAGAGAAUUUUGUCUCAGUAUGGGCAGUGCUAACCACCUCAUAGAGCACAGGGAAUUAUUCAGAGAGCAAGAUGGUGCAAAUUGGAUACAUUUCAAAUUGGUUGUUUGGAAUUAUGCUUGAAAACAUAAAACUAGACCCAAGUCUGUGGAGUUAUGCCUUCCCCACCCCCCUUGCUUUUUAUUUUAUUUUUUUAAAUGAACCUUGUGAGUGGAUUUUUGCUGAAUCAGGUGUGCCUUACUUAACAGGUGUGUGUGAUAAUGAAAUUUAGACCUGUUAGACCAGCUCUUAGUUAAUCACCAGAUCUGCGCCUCAGUUCUAUAACUCAAGCAGUAUGUGCUCCAAAAUACCAGAAGCAAAACAGGAAGGAUAGUCUGCAUUUGACUUUUCUUUUUCUCUCUCUCUCAACAUUAAAUUGAAAAUAAAAUUAACCAUGCAAGUAUUAUGGGUGGUUUGAAAUAAUGUACUUUUUUUUCUUUUCCUUGCCUUUGAAAUUUGAAGUUCUUUUAUAGUUUAUCUUCAGUAAUUUACUCAUUUUUAAAUGCUAUUGAAAAGUAGUAGUGCUCUGUGUAGCCAUUAAUAAAUACAAGGCAGCUUUCUCAAGGCUCUAGGGAGACCUAAUAAACACAACUGUGUUACUAAUUGAUGCUAUACUGAGCUGACAAAAGUAGUGCAUCGGUAAAUAAGUUAGAAAGCAAGAAGUUAAAGAACUAUAGGGGAUUAUGUAGACAUCAAGGGUUGGAAAUUAUAAUCAGGCCUCUUUAGGGGAGCGUUAAUUUGCAUGUGGCUGAAUUAGGGCACCGAAUUAUUUCAGAGGACUCCACUAAGAAGUCAUCCAGAAUCCCCCCAAAGUAAAAGGUUAGGGAGAGUUGGGAGUGUGGUGGGAUGGUGGGGGGGAAUGAGCAUGUCGUAUUUCCUAAAUUCAUGAUAGCUUUCCCAAUGGCUUGUUAGAGUCACUUUCUUGGUUAGGGAGAAAACUGCUGACGAAAUCAAGAGUACUGCAAUUUCUUUGUUCUGUAUGCACUGUUUAUGUUGAAUUACCACAAUCUUUUUUUUAAGGCGAAGAGGGCAGAAGGGUGGAGACAGAAAUAAACCUUUCAGAUCUUGGCUUGAACCCCAUAAGGGCACAAGCUUUGAACAGAUUAGAAAGUGUUUGGAUUUACACAGUUAUCAUCUUCUACAGCAGUGGUUCUCCAAGUGGGAUCCGCGGGCCUCUGGGAGUCCCCAAGACCCUUUCAGGGAUUCCGAGAGAGAAAAAAGCUGUCUAUGUAACAGUACUAAGAUUGUAGUAUUGGCCUUUUUCAAUGUGUUGGCAAUGGUGGGUAAAACGUCAAAUUACGCAGUGCAAAGUAAGACCUGUCCCAAGGAAAUAAAAACCCACUGCUGUCGAGUGGAUUCUGAUUCAUAGCAACUCCGUAGGACAGAGAACUGUCCCCAUGGGGUUUCCAAGGCUGUAAAUCUUUACAGAAGCAGACUGCCGCAUUUUUCUCCUGAGGAGCGGCUGGUGGUUUCAAACUGCCAAUCUGUGCCACCAGGGCUCCUUCACAUCAAGGCAGUGGUCCCACAAUGUACUGGUUGUCGUUGUGUUCUUCACUGCUGUGCACUUGCUGUUUAAAAAAAAAAAAAAAAGCUAGCUUCAUUUAAGAGUGUUCUUGAUGAAGCAGUAAAUAUUAUUAAGUUUAUUAAAUUUUGACCCUUGAGUAUAUGUCUGUUUAAUAUUCCUUAUGACAAAAUGUGAAGUACGCAUAAAGCACUUCUGUUCCAUAUCAAAGUGUAAUGUGUGUCUCCAGGGAAACCUACUUGUGCCAUUGUUUAAGAGCUGAACUAGGUGAUUUUUUAAUGGAAUACCAUUUUACUUACUAAAAUGACUGCGGUUAUUCAAGCUUGGGUAUAUCUCAUACAUUUUCUCCAGAAUGAUUGAAGCGAGACUAUCAUUUCAAGAAAAACAACUGACGGCAUUUAUUGCCAAUUAAUUUGAGCUUUCAGGCAAAAAUUAGAAUUCUGGAAAACUUGUUCCAACACCAUACCCUUGACAGCUUCCCAGUACUUAAAAGACUUUUCCAGUGAUGUAGGUGGUGAUAUUCAUGAAUGUGAUUAUUUGAAAUUGUAUGAUGAAAUUUGUCAACAUCUGGAAGUGUCCUAACUCAGUGAACCAAUAGUUUCCGAAUAGCUAAUGCAUGAUGUUACAGAAACAUGCCUGCAUAAGAGAUUCAUUCAGAGUACAAAAGACGCCAAUGCAUUAGGAACUAGCAGAGUACAAAAAGUUACUCAAGUAGUGUAGGUUCACAUACUGCAACUCAACUUCAAGAAACUACCACUGGCUGACUUUUGGUGUAGUAUCAAAGAAGAAUUUCCAGAAUUAUCUGAAAAGGCUAUUAAAAUACUUUUCCUUUUUUCCAGCUGGAUAUCUGUGUAAGUCUAGACUUUAUUCACGUACUUCAACCAAAAGACUAUAACACAGCAGACGGAAUGUGGAAGCAGACAUGAGAAUCCAUCUGUUUUCUAUUAAGCCAGACAUUAAAAAGAUUUGCAAAAAUGCAAAAUAUUGGCACUCUUCUUAUUAGCUUUUUUUGUUCGUUUUGGAAAAUAUACUUAUUUUUCAUAAAAGUAUUUUAUGCUAUUAUGUAAUAAGUUUAUUAUUUUAAUGCGUUAAUAAGUAAAGUUUUUAAAGUUGUCCAUUUCAAUUUUCAAUAGAGUAAUUAUUGAUAUGUAACCCACAGAAACAUAAAGGUCUUUUGGGGCUCUUAAAAGCAGAAAAGGAUCCGGAGACCAGAUAGUUCAAGAAUCACCACUCUACAGUUUAAAAUAGCCAGAAGAUGUUGUGUUAAAGCACAGGGUAACAAAAAUGGGACUUUGAAUUUAGACAGGUUAAUCGUAUUAACCAGAGCACAUUUUCUUUGUGAUGUCUUAAUCUUUAAUGGCAGUGAAAGGUUAUAACCGUUGGAUUUUGUUUGUUUGUUUGUUGUAUUUUUAACCUCAGAAUAAAACUGGAACUUUUUUUUUUUUUUUGAGCGAAAAGAUUCAUUGCUGGUGUUAUAUUUUCAGGGUUUUGUUGUCUUUAUUAAUGCAGCAGAGAUACACCAUAAAGCUUGACAGUUUAUUUUCAAUCAUCUGCACACUCCUUUAGCUUUUUAGGAAAAAAAUAUUUUGUACAUCCCAACUCCUAUGCCUUGAGAAAUUUUAUUACUUUGGGAGUGAUGGAAGGAUGGAAAGUGCUCACAGGUCCUACCACCACACAGGUGACAGGUACAUUCAUUCACUCUCCCUGAAACUGUCGUUAAGAGACCAGAGUUCUGUCCACAUGUUGGUAGGGUUCAGCUGAGAAAGGCUGAGCGCUCUACUAACUUCAGAUGCACUUGGCAAAAUCGGUUCCAUUAUACUAAUUGAAUCUAUGACAGUCUAACCUUCCCAGAGACGCCUUGUGAAAAAUAAUGUGUGGCUGGAAAGCAACGCCCAAGUGCUUGUUCUUAAUUUUAUAACUGCUUUGUUGGCAUCUGACUUACAGAUGUUUACGUUGCCCUUUGCAGCUGGACCAUUGGCCUUUUUGGUAUUCUCAAAGAGGAGCCACUUACAUCCUGAGUUCUGUUUGGUUUCUAGUCAACAGUCUGUCAGUUGAAUGGGAGCAAAUGCAGCUUGGUACAUUCUGAAUUACCAGAGUCUUGCUCUUGAUUCUUGUGACAAAGAGGAGAACCUGGUGUUCCUGGAGCCAGAUGAAACCCAAAGUUUUGGGGCACCUCACUUCCCGUAUAGUUUUAUUAGCUAGGUAAAGGUAAGCUUAGGUACACUAACUAUGUAAAUAGAGGUUUUGUAAUGACCCACAGCUAGCCUGGCCACGAGAAAGAAGUGCCUCACGUCCUCUGUGGAUCUAGCCCCAGAACUGUGACGGCUCAGGAGUGUGAUCCCAAAGUUCAGAACAAGCCAUGAUCCUAAUGUGUGGGAAGGAUGGGGGCACGAGGAAGGAAAGCAAAGAUAGCAGUUCUCUAUCCAUAGAUAGUUGGAAAGGUGAAGCUGAGGAAAUACGGGCUUUUUAAAGGGCUUCAGAAGUAAGAGUGCCUGGGUGGCAAACGGUUAACGCAUUAGGCUCCUAACCGAAAAGUUGGAGGUUCCGGUUCACUCAAAGCAUCUCGGAAAAAAGGCCUGGUGAUCGACUUCUGAAAAAAUCAGCAAUCGAAGACCCUAUAGAACACAGUUCUACUCCGAUGCACGUGGGGCUGCCAGGAGUCAGAAUCAACUGCAGGGGCAACUGGUUUACAGAAAUAACUUCAUGCCUAUUCUUGGUUAAAAAGAAAGCAAAACGUCCAAGAUAAUUACUCACUUUGAAGUAAAAUGGCUCAUUUUUAGACAUACCAAAAAAAAAAAAACAAAACCCAAACCCAUUGCCAUCAAGUCAAUUCCGACUCAUAGCAACCCUAUAGGACAGAGGAGAACUGCCCCAUAGGGUUUCCAAGGAGCAGCUGGUGGAUUUGAACUGCUGACCUUUUGGUUAGCAGUUGAGUUCUCAACCUUUGUGUCACCAGGGCUCCGUUUAUUUUACUAAAUUUCUAGCAUUUCGCUGCUAACUGAACUUAAUAAAUUUUGUGUAUAAAGUUUUAUGUUAUUUGGUGGUUUUGACCCAGGCAUGAAUCACUUAAAAAAGCAAAGGGCAUUUUGUUUCUUGGUCUGGGAGUGUUCACUGUGUGCAAAUUCAUCAAGCUUAACAUUUGUGAUUUGUGCCUGUUUCUGUGUGCGUGUUGCACCUCAGUAAAAAGCUUCCUAAAUGGCAGGGACAUUCUAAUGGUAAUUUUGUAAAUUCCACUGUCAGAGCUGAAUACGUUGUCUAGACUCAAGGCUUUGCAGUUUGCACUCCACUCUUUGACAAACAUUUCAUUUAGUCUCAUUUCUUUGUAUCACCGCUUUCACAAAUAGGAAAUUACCAAGCGAAUUUAUAGAUCUUAAGUAUGUGUAUAGAGUCAUAACUCUGUGCCAUGAAAACCUGAUAGCAACCUUUACACUGUUGUUGUUUGUUUGAGUGUUGGCUUGUGAAUGACCUUUGAGAAAGGUGGGAAGGAGAAAGUGAACCAGAAGACAAGGUGAUGUAGUUAUAGGAAUAGGCAGUCCUUCGAAGACUCAGUGCUUCCUGUGCACUCUGCAGCUCCUUGCUAACAACUCGGCCCUGGAUAAGGCUUGCCUCUGGCAAACCAGCUGUGUUUUCAAAGUCCAUCGUUUGCUUUUUCCAUGCCCUCAGUGAUCCCUGGCUGAGCAGCCCGGGGCAGAGGUGGGUCACCACAUAAAGCCGAGGACCAUGUCUGCCCAGACUGUCUCCCUGUCCCCUCUCCUGACACUCUGCUUUGGCCUUGCCUCCCUUUCUUUCUGUGUUCUUUCUGGUGACAGGACAUAAGGAAAAGGAAGGAACGUGAGAACUCUGAAGUAGGUAGAAGAACAGGCAUGGAUUUGGAAGUUUUUCCAAAUACAAGGUUUAAGUCCUGGAAAGAAUCCUUACUAGCUGAGUAACCUUGGGCAAGUUAUAUAACUUCUCUAAACCUCAGUUUUAUCACCUAGAAAAUGAAGUUGAUAAUAACAAUAUCCACUAUGUGGAGGUUUGGGAAAGGAGGAAGUAACACGUGAAGGCACUUAACCACUCUCAGAGCCAUCUCAGUGCCUCGCACGCAGGAGGCACCUAGUAGACACCAAAAAGGUGCUGUUAUUAACAUCACCAUCACCGUGUACACACAGUGAAUCAUAGACAGUCGCAUAUACAAGUUUAAAGAUAGGGCAAUUACUUCAUUCGAUCUUAUCUCAGCUGGAACACAUUGGCAUUUUAGCAGGGGCCUUUGCCAGGGCCCAAAGAGGUGAGUUAUGUGAUCUGGUCCGAAGGGGCUGGUGGAAGGGGAUCUUCAGUGAUAAUCCUCAUCAUACAACAUAAGAGGUUUCUGAUUCUGGCUCUCAAAGCCUGGCUAUUGAAACCAGUAAUACAUGUUCCCAGCCUGUCAUUUAUGAAGCGUUUCCUCCAUGCCAAGCACUGUGAAGUGGAUUACUGCAUUUAACACUUACAUUAACCUUCCAUUUAUUUGCCCAAUUACAGAGAGGAAACUGGGUCUUGGCGAGGCAGAGUAGCCUAUCCAGGAUCACAGGGAUGGUACUUGGCUGGGAAGGAAGGCCGAGCCUGUCUGACUCUGAAGGCUGUGCUUCUAUCCUUUGCUAUUCUGACCCAGCAGCUCCAGCACUGCAGGGCGCACAGACUCCAAGAUUAGGUCAUCCUGCAAUUGGGACUGAGGGUGCUUUCUGAAUCCUUUUGUGGAGUGGAGGUGGGCAGAAUGCAAGCAGGUAUUUCCUGAGCAUCUGCGGAAUGCCAGGCAGUACGUAAAGUGCCAUAACCAAGGAGUGAAAGACAUGGCCCGGCCAGAGGUGGACAUAAAGCCCCGGUACAGCCUAAGUGCAGAUUAGAGUAGGCUAGAUGCAACGAGCACCCUGAGGAGGAGCCUCGAUCAGAUGCAGGGGUUAGGAACAGCCUUUGGGAGGGGGUGAUGGCUUAGCUGAACUUCCAAGUGAAGAAGGUUAUUCCCAGCAAAGGAUGCCAAAAACCAAACCAGUUGCAGUUAAGUCAAUUCUGUUUCAUGGUGACCCCAUAUGUAGCAGAGUAGACCUGUGCUCCAUAGGGCUUUCAAUGGCUGUCACCUUUCGGAAGCAGAUCACCAGGCUCUGGAUGGGUCCAAACUGCCAACCAUUCCAUUAGUGGUGCUUAACCAUUUGGACGACCCAGGGACUCCAAAGGCUAGACAGCGAGCUUGAUGACUGUGGGGAUGGCAGGUAGCUCCGUGUGGCCUGCAGGGACUGGCAGGAGAGGGGAUGAGGCAGCUAGAGGAGGCGGAGGGCUUCAGACCACGAACAUUCCUGAUUGUCACUCUAAGGGAGUUGUUCUUUAUAGCAGAGGAGAUGGGAGCCGCCCAGGGAGGUUGUCAGACAGAUUUUGAAGGCACAUGGAAUCAUUGUAACGAUCAGGUAUUCUCAGUAGCUUCCUUUCCCAUAAUCAUUUCAGGAAAAAGAAAACGAGAGAGAAGAAAGGGGGAAAAAGCUUUGUGGCUGUAGCAAAGGGCCUUCCUUGGUGCGAUUGGAGUUUCUGUGAAGAUGUUCUGCCUCUUGUAUACUGUUGAGAGAUGUCUGAAAGGCGUCCUGCCUCAAGACUCCUUCAAUGGAUUUUUGCACUUUGCUUGUUAUAAAUUGAUCCAGGGACUUCAUUAUGAUGUCGCUAAGAUGAAUGAGGCAGGAGUGUUUUGGCUUGCGCUGCCAGGAGGAGGGAAAACAAGUUUCUCUGGCAUCACAGUUCAAUCACGCUGCUUACAGAAGUAGACCCAUGAAAGAAUGGGGGAGCGCGGCUUUGAUAGGAGAAACCCCCUAGCCCUGUUGGUGCCACUAGCGAGUGCUUAAACUAAAGCUUGGAGCCAGCUUUCAAGUAUUGACUGUGGAGCCCACACUCAGGCAUGUACUCAGCUUGUUAAAAUAAAAACACACUCUCAGCCAAGCUCCUGUCGCAGCUCCUGUCAUUGUUACACUGGAGAUUGUGGUUUGAAUUGGAGUUGCUGUAGCAUACAUUGAUUUCAAGAUAUGGUUGGUUAUUCAAUAUGUUAGUUAGGACUUGUGGCCAAACCAUGAAGAAGUAAAUAUCAUUGCCGGCUGCCUCUUCGGUCAUUUCUCCAUCUUGUAUUCACCAUAAACACUUGGCAAAUCUACCCAGAAUAGAGACUAGUUUGACUUCUUUGCUAUAGGGCCAGUUGCUUGUCUCAUUCAGCUCUUACCUGUCAGUGAGGAUGAUAAUGGCAUCAGUCUCCUUGGAUUGUGUUGAGAAUUAAAUGGGUUAAGAUAUUUAAGACGCUUGGCCCAUCGGUAAGUGCUUAAUAAAUGUUGCCUUAUUAUCAAUAUUAUUUAUAGAUAUUAAAAACAAUGAGCGAGAGUAUGACUGAAAUGCCACCCUCUUUGUCUCGCUACCAGUGAUACAGGUAGGACUUGGUUUGCACUUGACUGCUAACCUAAAGGUUGAUUGUUCGCACCCACCCAGCCAGCACCACCAGGGAAGAAAGGGCCUGACGACUUGCUUCUGUAAAAAGAUUACAGCCAAGUUCUACUUUGCAACACGCGUGCUCACCAUUGCUGUUGAGUCAGAAUUGACUCAACAGCAAUGGGUUUGUGUGUUUGUUUGGUAUCAAGCUAUCUGAAAUAGCCUUGGGUUUAUUAAACCCUUUGGGUUAUGCUCCUCAUGUUUCUUGUGGUUACUAUGCCCAAAUCAAUCAAGUGUUUGUGAAAGGUUUUGCAAAUACAAGAUGUCAUGCUCAUCGCGUGAUUGCUUUCUUCUGGAGUUCUUUUUCCCAGCGUACAGACUUCUGUAUCAUUCUCCCCUCCUUGCCCCGUGUCCUCCAUGUGAAACGCACAACAGCAUGUUCUCCAACAAAUGAAUCACUUUAUGUCAAUUUACUGACCCACUUUCCACCUCUAAGGCUAUUCAACUUGGUUAUUUCGUUUUUUAAGGCCCCCACAUUCCAAUCAUGGAUAUUAAGGAACAGAUAAGGAUAUACCUAGUAUCUUUUCUGCACACCUGUGGGGUCUUGGCUAUGGAACUUAGUCGUCUGGCCUCCUCACCCAUCUCAGAGUGCCGAGCCUUCUUAACCAUUCAUGUGUGCACUGCAGUCUGCUCCAGUCUGUUCAAAUUAGGAUCUCCUUAUAUUUGUGCAAAUCACCCUCACACCCCACACUUUUACAUGGAUUAUUGCUUUUUAAUGAGGAGGUAAUAGAAAGGUGGUGAAGUCGACUUAUGCAUGGGCACAGUGUUCUGAUGCGUAAAUUUUGAUAAUUCCCCAGUUGGAGCUGAAUUUUGAUUGUAGAAGGUGUCAUAACUAAAAACAACAGUCCCCUACCUCCUUGGGCAUUUUAUAGAAUACUGGACUUAAAAGUGACCUUAGAAGUCAUCUAGCCCAAUUCAUUUACUUUGUACAUCAGGUAGUUGAGAAAUUAAAAUGCAUGACCCAGGAUUAGUUAGCAACAGGUUAAGGACUGGAGCCAGGGUCUCCUUAGUCCUCAGCCCCUGUUGUUGCCACUGCUGGUACUUCAUCAGAGUUCUAUAAGGAGUUUUGGUGUAAUAUUGUAUCGAAGGGUGCUGUGAGGGGCUAGACCUAUUUAACUCUUUAGUAACUGUCAUCAUGUUGUUUGUUGGUUGCUGUCUAGUCGAUUUCAACUCAUAGCAACCCCAAGCGACAGAGUAGAACUGCUCCAUAGGGUUUUCUUGGCUAUAAUCUUUAUAGAAGCAGAUUGCCAGGUCUUUCUCCCACAGAGCUGCUGAGCGGGUUCGAACUGCCAACCUUUCAAUUAGCAGCCGAGUGCUUAACCAUUAGGCCACACAGUUUUACCAAAAGAUCCAGUGGGUCAUUACAUUUGUUUGUAUUUUGUUUUCAUAGAAAAGGAAAGAAAAAUUAAUUCCAGCUAAGAGUAGGAACACAAAAGAACACCCGAAUGCACCCCAGCUUUAAUUUCAUCUUUGAAAGCACAGGAAAACAGAGGAAACCACUUCAAAUAUACCCUUACAAUGAACUCAAACUGUGUCAGGGAAGCCAGCAAAACGGUGUCCCUUUGUGCUGACUGUUGUGGAAAUGUACCCUUGUCGUUUGCUGUGGUCUCCCUGUGGGAGCCACAUCCCAAUCCCUCCCCCAGCCUGAAAGGAGGGGGGAAAAAAAUAGCAGGAACAGUAAAUAACAACUGUCAGAUAAUACAGAUGGGUAAACAUUUCCAGAAUUGAUUGUGUAAAGUACUGUUGACAAGCCACUAGCAGGCAAGAUGAGGUGAGAGGAAAAAAAGAAGUUUUAUCUGUCAUUCAGUUGGGUGUAGGAUGGAGGGAGAACCUACAGAAGGACGUGAUUAAUAUGGUAAUGUACUUCAUUGCGUGAGAAGGCUCAUAAGAGGGUCCUGAGAGGUUAUCUGGUCCAGGCCAUUGCCAUUACUGCAGAGGAAACAGAAACUUCUGAAAGGUUAAGUGGCUGGCCCAGUAUCACACACUAGCAGCAAAGCCAAUUUUAGAACCUUGCUCUCUUGACUCUCAAUCCUGUGCUCCAGCCACUAUACCAUAACCCUCUAACUGAAUAUAUGCUGGGAUCAGUAUCACCAGUACAAGAUGAAGCUCAUGGAAAUUUCCCUAAAUGGAUAGCUGUUUUUAAGUCAUCAUUGAAACUGACCAUAAUUUUAAGCGUCUCCAAAGGAUAAAAACCUGUUAAUAAGGUAUGGUGUAAAAUGUUAAUUCACCUUCAUAUCCAGAAGGGAAGGAAUUUUUAUGUUCUUUCAGCCAUUCAACAAACAUAUUAAGUGCCUAUGCUGUAUUUGUGGUACCUACGGUCCCUGAUCAAUUAUCCUUUCUCUUUCCUUUGAGGCUACUAAGCAGUGGGGCGGGUCAUUGGAUCUGUCCACUCUACCUCCCUUCUGUCUAAGGAUGUCAUGCUCACAUGGUCUUACUUUUCUCUAGUCUUUGUUAUCUUUUUAAUCUGGUCUUUAAAUGUCAGUCUCUGUUCUCUUAUCCUUGUUUAGACAGUCUGGGUUUCUUGUGUUUAUCUUGCCCUCCUUUUGCUGACGUAUUUGCAUCACUUUAGCUGCAGUUAAUAUCUGCUAAAUCAAACCAUAUUGGCUUGAAUAGCUUCCCUUGAUUUGUGAAUAAAAGGAUGCUUCAGCUGCCUGGCCCUGCUUUCUGAACAGUCUUUGUCGCCGUUAGGUUUGACUUGCUCAAAACCGUCCUUGUCUGCAUCUGUCUCUUACCCCUGUAUCUUUCAUCCUCCCCCGAUCAAGCCGCUUCGUCCUUUUGAGCUGCUAUUCCUCUAAACACAGCCUCUGUUGGGGAGGGUGACUGCUCACACUUUAGAGAGUGGGGAGACCAAUGUCAUUUUUCUUUGCUGGUGUCCUGCUUUCACUUUUAAUCAUCACCCCCUCCCCCAAAUUAUUGUUACCCCAAACCAAACCCAUUGCCGUCAAUGCCAACUUAUAGCAAUCCAACCUAACAGAGUAGAACUGCCCUCUAGGGUUUCCAAGGCUGUAAAUCUUUACAGAAGUAGACUGCCACACCUUUCUCCAUGGAGCAGCUGGUGGAUUUGAACAGCCGACCUUUUGGUUAGCAACCGAGCACUUAACCACUACACCACCAGGGCUCCUUAAAUUAUCGCGAUGACCAGAAUCAGUGUCGUCAUUGGCCAAACCAUAGUGAGCAGCGACUACGUAUUCACUGAACAUCAUCCUGCUGACUGGAACUUUGUAAAACCUGAGCCUCCGGUGCUUCUGAGAAGGGGAGCAAGAUCAACAAGCCAGUUUUGUUGAUUUAUUUAAUUCAACAAAUUUUCUAUGAAUAAUACCGCUUACCGCAGAAGCGUGAUCAGGUUCUAAAUGCCAGAAGAAAGAGGUGUGAAAAUAUGCCAACCACAAAGAGAGCUUUUGUGAAUCGUACCUUCAGCCCACCGAUUUCAUACUACAGGAAAAGCUAUAAUCUUGAUUUCUUUUUUUUUUUUUUUUUCUAAGCGCAAAACCGAUCCAAACUGAAAUCUAUGUGAAAAAUAACAAAACUUAUUCUGUAAACUUUUACCUGUUUUUUGGCUUAAUUAUUCAACAACUCCUGCUGCUCCCCCACAAAAGGAGCUAAUCUUUUUUACUUAGGCUGGGAAAAGGCACACAACCUUAGCAAUAGUGUGAUCAUAAAACAGUAAUGCCCAGAUCCAGGAUAAACUUACGUUUCAGGGAAAGCAAACGACGCUCCUAGGUGUGUGAGUGCUGUGUCAGGGGCCUUGUGGUUGGAGGACCGGUUGGCCUUGAACACGGUCUGAUGUAUUUGGAGAUCUGCACCUGGCCUGCCUCCUUCCCUCCCAAGUAUUAGCAGCAGCAGGUCCUGCCCUCCCCAGUAGAUCUGGACAAGACCUCUCCACAGCUGGUUAGGGAGAAGAGGCUUCUUGCUUCCUCAGAGACAGCCUGACACCACACUUGGCCAGAGUGUGUGAAUCGAGGUUUGGGCCUCUAGCAUAGAUAACGCAAGCUCCUGUCUUUUCUCCCUCAACUCCCUCAACAGUAGAGAGCAGAGCCUUUGCUGGCAUGCUGCCUCCUGGAGGUGUCUGAAGGUUUGCACAGCUAGGAGAGGCUUUGGGGGCUGCUUUGACAUCGCCAGCUGAAGCUGCUUGGCUGCUCAUUCCACCUCCCUGUGGUUGGGGGCAACCUUGGUGCCAGUCAGAAUGGAAAGGCACGGGUGCAGACGUAACAGUGAGAGGUAUAAGGCGUUGCCCUGUCCAUUUCCUAGCAGGGCACCCACCCCCUAACCCAGAGCUUCUGUUCCAGGAAACUCUCUUUCCCAUAAAGCAAUGGUUCUCCACUGGGGGUACCUUUGACCCCCACAGGCAUUUGGCUGUGUCUGGGGACUUUCAGGCUAUCACAACUGGGGUUGCUUCUGGCAUCUAGUGGAGAGAGACCAGGGAUGCUGCUAAACACCCUGUAACCUGCAGGACAGUGCCCACUACAAAGAAUGUCAGUAGUGCUGAGGUCGAGACACCCCACCUCCCCCGGAGCGCACUCUUUAUGUGCUGCACCGCAGGCCCCUCACAUACAUCUGCCCCCGCCCCCCAAAUAUGUGAUAUAUAAAUGUAUUUAUCUUCAUUUUUAAAUAAAGGAAUAAGUAGAGAAUCUCACUGGCAAGAAGUGUAAAAAAAAAAAAAAAAAGGUAAA